rnacentral:rRNA from 1 species
UGGGGAAUAUUGGACAAUGGGGGGAACCCUGAUCCAGCCAUGCCGCGUGUGUGAAGAAGGCCUUAUGGUUGUAAAGCACUUUAAGCGAGGAGGAGGGUACUGGUAUUAAUACUACCAGGUACUGGACAUUACUCGCAGAAUAAGCACCGGCUAACUCUGUGCCAGCAGCCGCGGUAAUACAGAGGGUGCGAGCGUUAAUCGGAUUUACUGGGCGUAAAGCGCGCGUAGGUGGUUCGUUAAGUUGAAUGUGAAAGCCCCGGGCUCAACCUGGGAACUGCAUCCAAAACUGGCGAGCUAGAGUAGGGCAGAGGGUGGUGGAAUUUCCUGUGUAGCGGUGAAAUGCGUAGAUAUAGGAAGGAACACCAGUGGCGAAGGCGACCACCUGGGCUCAUACUGACACUGAGGUGCGAAAGCGUGGGGAGCAAACAGG